GACGAACGCUGGCGGCGUGCUUAACACAUGCAAGUCGAACGAUGAAGAAGAGAAACGCGAACUUCGGUUCAAAUUUCACUUCGGAUUAGUGGCAGACGGGUGAGUAACGCGUGAGCAACCUACCUCUUACAAAGGAAUAGCCUCGGGAAACCGUGAUUAAUACCAUAUGACACAUUCAUAAGGCAUCUUAAGAAUGUUAAAGCUACGGCGGUAAGAGAUGGGCUCGCGUCCCAUUAGCUAGUUGGUGAGGUAACGGCCCACCAAGGCGACGAUGGGUAACCGGCCUGAGAGGGUGAACGGUCACAUUGGAACUGAGACACGGUCCAAACUCCUACGGGAGGCAGCAGUGGGGAAUAUUGCACAAUGGAGGGAACUCUGAUGCAGCGACGCCGCGUGAGCGAUGAAGGAAUUCGUUUCGUAAAGCUCUGUUCUAUGGGAAGAAAAGGACUGUACCAUAGGAGAAAGCCCCGGCUAAAUACGUG
rnacentral:rRNA from 1 species